GCCCACCAGACAACACAAUGAAAGCAGCAGUCAUUUACAAAUGAGUUGAAGUAGUUUUAUUGCGAAAAAAGACCCCCGAAUACUAGCCAACACAAACACAAGAGUGACCUCAGGCCUUAGGAACACAGAUCUGUCUCCUGAGAGUCAGUGUGUGUGUGUGUGUGUUUAGGCUAGACUUUAAACUAUAAAACCGUGCAUUUUGUCAGACUUGUUUAGUACAGAUGUGCUGGAUUUGUUACACAUUCUUUCACACAAACACACUCUUACUAGAUAUCGUUUGACUCUUGUGUCUACUUUUGUUGCUUCAGUAUUAUAGUUGUACAGUGAGACGUGUGUGUGUUAUUUGUAGACACCAGCAGAAGCAAUUGUCCUUCAAAUUACAUUUGGGGUUUGUUUUUCUGUGGUCAUGUGAGUGUCAUUAUCGGUUUAGCUACUUUGAAACAAAUAAACAGUCUGAUUGAAUAAAUCAGUCUCUUUUCUGGAAUAAAAAAGCAGAAGCCCCAGAAGAACAUUUUUUGCAUUGUAAAAUGAUAUAUUUCUAACUGAUUAUCUUUUCCUGCUGCUUAUCCCUCUUCCAGAAACUAAUGGAAAAAAGAAAGGAGAGCGGAAAAAAGGCAAGAAAGGACCCCCUGGCGCUCCUGGACCCCCAGGCCCACCUGGUCCACAAGGUCCACCUGGAAUACCAGGGAUCCCGGGAAUCCCAGGCAGUAAUGCGAUGGGUCCCUCUGGCCCACCCGGACCUCCUGGACCUGCAGGGCCACCUGGACCACAAGGGCCACCUGGACCUUCAGGUUAAUACAGACACUUGCCUCUGCACGCAGUCACAGCAAGCUGCUAGUUUAAAGUCAACAUGAAAUCAAAAUGGACAUUUCAUGGAAUUCCAUUUUUAAAUUGAUGUGCCUUUGGAAUCUUUAAUCAAAAUUGAAUCAAAUCUUCCUCUUUGCAACAACAUCUCUUCUCUGACAAUAAACUCUUCCCUUCAGCAAACUGUCACUCACAUGAGAUCGCAGUAAUAGCAAACAACAACGAACCAAUCCAUUCCCAGUGGACAAAAUCAGGUCCCAUCCUACUUUUUUUGCUUAUUCAAGAAGCUGCUUCACUCUGAUAUACGUCUUAGGGAAGAAAAAAUUUGAUUUCCAUAUUAUGCCGUUGUUAAAGGCCUGCUCACAUCAAGAACAAUGCGGCAUAGGCCGAUUACCGGUUUCAAGGUAUACCGCGAUUUGAAAA
rnacentral:lncRNA from 1 species